GGUCAAGCUACAAAGGGCUCACGGAGGAUACCUAGGCACACAGAGGCGAUGAAGGACGUGGUUACCUGCGAUAAGUCUCGGGGAGUUGGAAGCACACUUUGAUCCGGGAAUUUCCGAAUGGGGCAACCCCUUGAACGACCAACUGAAUAUAUAGGUUGGUGCGAGCUA
rnacentral:rRNA from 1 species